ensembl:lincRNA
GUCCCAGCCUUAAGAGUAUGUAGGCUUCUUCCCAGCCCUGUGUCCCCACAGUUCCGUGGGCCACGGAGGGGAUCCAGUGGCUUCAAGGAGAAUGAGAGAAACAGCAGAGGAAGGAAAAGCUUCGGUAGCAAGCAGGACAAAACGAAGAGCAAGCAAGGAGGGAUAAGGAGGUGGAAGAUGAUCCCAGGGCACUGGCUGACCACAGGUUUUAGGGUGCAUACAGAGCAAAGGUGCUUCACUUCUGAGCACCAUCACACCUGUUCUCAUUUGUUCCCCUCCCUCGCUGAGCCCACCCCUCCACCAAGCCCCUUUCUUCUUCCACGCAGUGUCCCCUCUACAAUCCAUCACCCUGCCACCCCCUUUCCUUGAGAGCUCUUUCUCCCUCCUCUUUCCUCUUUUUUCCCUUUUCCCAGCCAGCAAACACACAUGUAUAAGUAGAGACAUAAGUGCACACAUAUAGAUAGGCAUACAUGUACACAUUUAUGAUAGGGAUAUGUGCAAACAUGUCGAUACACAUGCACACAUGUAGAGAAAAAUAUACAUGCACAUAUAUAGACAUAUACACACCCAUAUACAGAGAGGCAUAUGUGCUAACAUAUAAAUAGACAUGCACAUAUAUUUAGAUAUAGAUAGAGACAUACAUGCAUACUUGCUUUGUAGAUCAGGCUGGCCUCAAGCUCACAAAGAUCUGCUUGCCUCUGCCUCCUAAAUGCUGGGAUUAAAGGUAUGUGCCACUACCAUCUGGCUUCACCAAGUCUUCUUUUCAGGAAUUCACUGAAACAUCUUAUGAAAACUCACACCAGUGUCUUCCUUCAGAGAACCCAGGCUCCAGCUGUGGCUACCACAUAAGGGUUUUUAAUACAAGAAAAAUAAAGUAAUUAAGUCUGAAAAAAUAGAUAGGUGCACUAAUGUCCCUUUAAUGAGAUAAGGUGAUUUGCCUCCCCAGAACCCGGCCUCCUGGUAGUUUCUUACAAUGUGACCACAUCCACCUCUGUGAGUGCCCACGCUUUCUGAAUUACUCAGGGAAGUGUAACCUCUCUUCUUUCUGUCUCUUCUCUAGGCAUGCAUUCCUAAUACUUUGGGCUUCCUCACUGUAAGGGUUAGCUUUGUCAGCUUGACCCAAAUUAGGGUCAUCUGGUAAAGGGAACCUCAGCUGACCAAAUGGUUCCAUUAGCCUGGCCUGUGGCCAAGUCUGUGAGGUAUUUUCUUCAUUAGUGACGGAUAUGGGAGGGCCCAACCCACUGUGGGUGAUACAGGUGGGCCUGGGUGCUAUAAGGAAGCAGCCUGAGCAAGCUGUGAAGCAAGCCAGUGUCCCCUGUAGCUUCUGCUCCCAUUCCUGUCCCCGGGUUCCUGUCUAGAGCUCCUACUCGACUCCCCUUGGUGACCUGACAUCUGUAAGAUGAAAUAAACCCUAAGUUCCUUGCCUACAUUGCCUUUGGUUUGUGUUUCAUCACAGCAAUAGGACGCUCCCCUCCCUGACAUGUGACUGACCUUUUAACUCCAGCAGGAAGACCGGUCCCCUUCUCCUCCCUGUUCUCCACCUUCCAGCAGCUGCAGAGGUUUGUAGCUCACUGCCCUCUAAUAAAGUUGUCCUCCAGCUUCCGUCU